UACAGAGGGGGCAAGCGUUAUUCGGAAUUAUUGGGCGUAAAGGGCGCGUAGGCGGCCGAUUAAGUCGGGGGUGAAAGCCUGUGGCUCAACCACAGAAUUGCCUUCGAUACUGAUUGGCUUGAGACCGGAAGAGGUCAGUGGAACUGCGAGUGUAGAGGUGAAAUUCGUAGAUAUUCGCAAGAACACCAGUGGCGAAGGCGGCUGACUGGUCCGGUUCUGACGCUGAGGCGCGAAAGCGUGGGGAGCAAACAGG
rnacentral:rRNA from 1 species